GCCCGGGUGGUGGAAUUGGUAUACACGCAAGACUUAAAAUCUUGUGGCUCUUUAAGCCAUGCGGGUUCGAUUCCCGCCCCGGGCACCA
rnacentral:tRNA from 1 species